CAUCGAUGUACGAAGUCUGACGGAGCACGCCGCGUGAGUGAUGAAGGUUUUCGGAUCGUAAAACUCUGUUGUUAGGGAAGAACAAGUACCGUUCGACUGGUCGGUCCUGGCCGUACCCUAACCAAAAGCCCCCGGUAACUACAUGGCCACCGCCCCGGUAAUUAA
rnacentral:rRNA from 1 species